GUGCCUAACACAUGCAAGUCGAACGAGAAAGUGGAGCAAUCCAUGAGUAAAGUGGCGACCGGGUGAGUAACACGUGACUAACCUACCCUCGAGUGGGGAAUAACUCCGGGAAACCGGAGCUAAUACCGCAUAACAUCUUCGGAGCGCAAGCUCUGUUGAUCAAAGGAGCAAUUCGCUUGAGGAGGGAGUCGCGGCUGAUUAGCUAGUUGGCGGGGUAAUGGCCCACCAAGGCUUAGAUCGGUAGCCGGCCUGAGAGGGCGCACGGCCACACUGGAACUGAAACACGGUCCAG
rnacentral:rRNA from 1 species